GAAAUUGUAAAAACGUUGACUUCUAAUCAAAUCGUACAAAGGGAAUGCCUUUCAAUUUCU
rnacentral:tRNA from 1 species